CGUACCUGUCUUGCUUUUUGACGAACAAAACUGACGGUGAUGUUAUGCACUGAUUGUAUGCAGAGUUGCAAACUGCGUGAUAAUUAUAUUAUAUACUACACAAAUGAUAUAUGUCCAAUCAUGGUUGCAUUGUUUGUGCGCUGAAUGUGCCUAAAAUUGAUUUGCAUUACUUGUGAAAUGUCGUCUGGGUAGCCAAGGCUGUUUGUUUGAGCGGAUUACGUGGAUGCCUUUCAGCACCAUGGAGAGCGCACACGACGCGUGAGCAAGAAAACUGGGGGAGAAAGUCAAGAAGAAGGACCCAACGGUUGCCUCCCACAGGCAGGAGAGGUAGGAUUUUCACUGCUGUGCAGGAAACUGCCAUCGUUGAUAUGGUCAUCAGAAACUAUGGCAUAAAACUCACAGAGAUUCAGGACAGAGUGUUGGCAGACAACAUUACAUUUGGAAAUAUUCACAAUAGAGUCAUGGAGAUUGAAGCCAGGCAAACAUCCUACAUAUUCAUCUUUGUGGAUGAGGCUGGUUUUAACUUGGCCAAAACACGGCGGCGAGGAAGGAAUGUGAUUGGGAAAAGAGCCACAGUGGAUAUCCUGGGCCAGAGGGGUGCCAACAUCACAAUGUGUGCAGCACUAUCCUGUGAUGGAUUGCUGUUACACAACCCGCCUAUUGGGCCAUACAACACAGAGCGUCUCAUUUCAUUCCUGGAUGACCUCUAUUGAAGGGUUGUGCCAGGUGAGAAAAGGGUUGCAGUGAGGCGAAAUCGGCCAACGUUUGAAAUUGUAUGGGACAAUGUGGCAUUUCACCACUCCCGUGCAGUCACAGAGCGGUAUGCAGCCCAUCCCAGGAUGGUGUCACAUUUCCUUCCACCUUACUCUCCAUUCCAUAACCCCAUAGAGGAAUUAUUUUCCUCAUGGUGGAAGGUUUAUGACCACCAUCCACAUGAUCAAAUGUCCCUCCUAGACACAAUUUUUCAAGUUUUUAAAUGUUAUAUAUAUUUUAUUUAUUUAACUAGACAAGUCAGUUAAGAAAUAAUUCUUAUU